rnacentral:lncRNA from 1 species
UUUUUUGGUACUAUUGCAAAUGGACUUGUUUUCCUUAUUUUAUUUUUAGAUCGUUCAUUGUUUUUAAUGAAUUUCCUAGAACUUUUUUUUUUUAAUAUACAAGAUCAUAUCAUUUUACUUCUUCCUUUCCAAUCUGAAUGCCUUUUAUUUUAUUUUCUUGCCUAACUUCCCAGGUUAGAGCCUUCCAUACAAUGUUGAAUAGAAGUGGUGAGAACAGGGCAGCCAGGGUGGCUCAGUGGUUUAGCGCCAGCUUCUGCCCAGAGUGUGGUCCUGGAGACCCGGGAUUGAGUCCCACGUCGGGCUCCCUGCAUGGAGCCUGCUUCUCCCUCUGCCUGUGUCUUUGCCUGUCUCUGUGUCUCUUAUUAAUAAAUAAAUAAAAUCUUAAAAAAAAGAAAAAAAAAAAGAAGUGGUGAAGUGAUGAGAACAAACACCAUUGUCUUGUUUCUGUUCCUUAGCAGAACACAUUCAGUGUUUUACCGAUAUGUAUCAUGUUCUCUGGGGGGACUUUCAUAGAAGUAUUUAUCAGGUUGAGGAAUUUUCCUUCUAUUCCUAAUUUGUUGAGCACUUUUGUCAUGAAAGGGUAAUAGAUUUUAGUCAAAUGCUUUUUCUGUAUCUUUUGAGAUAACAGUGUGAUAACAGUGUGGUCGUUGUCCUCUAUGCUAGUGUGACACAGUAUAUUAUAUCAAUGAAUUUUUAACUGAUUUAAAGUUCUAUCUUACUAAUUUUUUUCAUUGAUUUUUUUUUCUUGAUCAGUCCAAGAAGAGCUUUAUUGCCUCAAUUGUUCUUUUAUAAGAACAAAAUUUUGGUCACGCUGAUUUUUCCUGAAUUAAUUGGUUGAUUCAUUUUCUAUUUUAUUGAUUUUCCCUAAAUUUAUUGUUUCCUUUUAAAAACUUCCUUGGAUUAAUUUACUCUUAUUUAUUUCCUUUUGCUUUGUAAGGUGGAAGCUUCAGUAAGUUAUUUUUUUAAAGAUUUUAUUUAUUUAUUUAUUUAUUCGACACACAGAAAGAGAGAGCACAAAUGAGGAGGGGCAGGCAGAGGGAGCAGGAGAAGCAGGCUCCCUGCCGAGCAGAGAGCCUGAUGUGGGGCUCUACCCCAGGAUCCUGGGAUCAUGACCUGAGCUGAAGGCAAAUGCUUAACCAACUAAGCCACUUAGGGCACCCUAAAUAAUUUAUUUUAAGCUGUAAGCAUGUUAGACUACAAAUUCCAUUCUAGGCACUGAUUCAGCUCUGUAUCUCACAAAUAUGGGAUGGUUUAAUAUGUAUUUUUAUUAACAUUCAGUUCAAAAUAUUUUAUUUCCCUUGUUCUUUCUCCUUUGGGUCAUGGUUUAUUUUUAAAUGUACUAUUUACUCGUUUUACCAAUUACUAAUAGAGGAAUAUUCUUACCAGAACAGCACUAAACAUCACAGAAAAAUCGGUGAAUCAGACUUCAUCUAAGUUAAAAUUAUCUGCUCAUCAAAGGACACUGCUAAGAAAAAACCUAGGCAAUACGUAGACAGAGAGAAAAUAUUUGUAAUGCAUAUAUCUAUCGAAAGAUCUUUAUCCAAAAUACAUAAGGAACUCCUUCAACUCAAUAGUAAAAAGACAAACAACACAACCUUUUAAAUGGGCAAAAUACAAGGAAAAGGCAUCCCCUGAAAGAAGAUAUAUGAUUGGCCAAUAAGCUCAUAGAGAAAUACUUAGCAUCGUUAGACAUUAGAGGUACAAAUUAAAACCACAAUGGGAGUAAAAGGUACAGCAUAGGGAAGUAGCCAAUGAUAUUGUAAUAGGGUUGUAGGUGACAGAUGGUAGUUACUUUUGUAGUGAGCAUGGUGUAACGCACAAACUUGUCAAAUCAUAUGUUGUAUGCCUUAAACUAACUGAACAUUGCGUGCCAACUAUACUCACAAAAUAAAAUAACAAUAAAUCACAGUGGCAUAUUCUACAACAACUGGAAUGGCUAAAAUUAAAUAAAUGGCAACACCGAAUGUUGGCAAAGAUGUGAAGCAACCAUUCAUUUACGGUAGGAGUGUGUGGUGUACAUACUCUUACACUGGCCCCUUUAAUCCCCACCUUCUGGUAUUCAUUCCCUGUGUGAUCCCUCCCCUUGAGUGUGAGUGGGACUUACAUUAAAAUACGGCAAAGGUAAUGGGAUGUAUAUGAUUAAAUAUAUUUGAUUACAUGAUUACAUUUUAUGAGAUUGCUGCAUUCACCUUGCUGGAUGGAACCUCUUGCUCCUUCACUGGCUUUGAGGAAGCAACUGCCCAUGUUAAAGAACCCCACAUGGUAGGGAACUGUUGGCAGCCUCUCUAGCAGCUGAGGGCGGCCACCAGCUCGCAGCCAGCAAGAAAUUGAAGUUCUCGAUCACACAACACAAGGAAGUGAAUUCUGCCAAAAACCACAUGAGUCUGGAAUCAUGUCCUUCCCCAGUUAAAGCAGGAGAACCCAGUUUGGGUCAGCACUCAAUCACAGCCUUGCAAAGGAUUAUCUAAGCUAUGCCCAGCCUCCUGAUCCAAACUGGGAGAAAAAAAAAGUAUAUUGCUUUUUGCUGUUAAAUUUGUGGUAAUAUUGUCAUGCAGCGGUAGAUAACUAACACAGAGUAUAAAAUGUUACAACCUCUCUGGGAAAUGGUUUGACGUUUUCUUAUGACAUUAAACACGCUCCAGAAACUCCACCCUCAAGAGAAACAGAAGUCCACAAAAAGGACAUAAACAAGAAUAUUCACAACAACUUCAUUCAAAAUAGCCCCCAAAAAUCGGGAAAAAAAGCAAAUUUUUAUCAAUAUAAAAGUAGAUAAAGAAGUUGUGGUAUAAAAAAAAAAGAAGUUGUGGUAUAUUAAUACAAUACAAUGAAUACUACUCAGCAAUAAAAUAGAAUAAACUUUUGAUAGACACAAAACAUGAACAAAUCUCAAAAACAUUAUGUUAAACUAAAGAUGCCCAGACACAAAAGAGUACAAACUGCAUGAUCCCAUUUGAUGAAGUCCUAGGACAAGCCAACUUAAUCUAUGGUAAAGAAAUUGAACCAUUGGUUGCCUCUGGGAAUUAAGGGCAGGCACUUAUUUGGAAAAGGCAUGAGAUCAUUUUCUAUAGUGAUGAACAUGUUCUCUGUCCGAUGAGAUGUGGCUUACAUCUGUCAAAACAUUUGUCAAAACACCUAACUAUGCACAUAAGAUCUGUGCUUAUCACUACAUGUAAAUUAUAUUUUGAUUUAAAAAAAUUUAAAAGACAAGAGAAAUACUUCCUUGGCAAAGGAUAGCAGCAUAUGUCUCAAGCAAAAUUACCCCGAGAUUCUUGCAAAGAUGAUGAGAAAAGCAUAAAACAUCUGUCAUGUAUCAUCUGUUACAACACAAGUUUCCAGAGGAAAAGGCACCUUCUGUAUGGUUCUCUCUCAGUUGAUCUUUAUGCCUGGAGCUUCAUUGACUCAAUCCACCCAAAGAAGACUAUGCCAGUCAAUGAAUCCUGUGAACUCGAUAGCCCAUAUUUAAUCAAUGAGUAGUUAUAAAAUGACCAAAACCAAACACAACUGCUAAAAUAACUUUAUCAUCCUUAUCAUGCAGCUACUUCAAACAGGAUUUGAUUUCCACCAAUUGUCUGACAUUUUAUUUAAUUGGAAACAAUACUUUUUGUGGUGCUUUGCCGGGCAACGUAGGGAGAUUAAAUUAUCGAAAAACCUAUGAGUUCGAAACCAUUGAGGACAUCAAAAACAAGAAAAGUCUGAGAAACUGUUACAGUCUAAGGAGCCUAAGGAGAAAUAACAACUAAAUGAAAUUUUGAUUCCUGGACGGGAUCUUGGAACAGAAAGGACUCUAGGUUAAAAACUAUGGAAAUCUGAAUUAAGUAUGGAUUCCAUUAAUCAUAAUUUGUGAAUACUGGUGCAUCAGUUGUAACUAAUAUUCUCUACUAAUGUAAGAUGUUGAUAGUGGAAAUUGUGUGCAGAGGUAAAGAGGAUAUAUAGGAACUCUGUACUAUUUUCUCAAUUUUUCUGUAAAUAUAAAACUGCUCUCAAAAUAGAUCUAUUUUUUAAAAAGAGACCUAUGAGAGCAAGCUGAAUGUACAUGGUAGGAUCUGGGAAAACUACUAACAACUAAGAGAGGACAGAUUUAAAACAUGAGUGGUAAGAAAAGGGGCAACACCCUAGGAACAGACUAGGUGGUUUUCAAUCUGUCUCUGCUACUUACUGCCUCUACAAAGCUCCUCUCCUCCAAAUCGUUGACGCAAAUGGAAUCCGCGUCAACCAAUCUCUCUUCUGGCAGCUGCUAUUAUUUCUAUUUUCACUCCCUGCCAAUCUGGACAUGGGACAUCUAUAAUUUCCCCCACAGAAUUCAUUGGCAAAAAACGUUGAUGAGAAAUGUGGUUGCUUUUGAUGACUUUGUGGGGAAAAUGGAAAAGGCAUUUAUGUUGAACACAGCAAACAAUUUUAAAAUCCCCUUUAAAUUGGAGAUUUAUAAGGAUAUUUUUGGGACAAUGGGGAAAUUUGAAUAUGCACUAAAUGUUAGAUAUUGUAUUUUAGCAAGCUUAAGUUCCUGAGUGGGACAAUUGCAUCCUGGUUAUAUAGGAGCAAUGGCCUUGUUCUCAGGAAACACAUACUGAAGCACUUAGUGGUGAAGCUGCAUGAUGUCUACCAACAACCUUCAUAUGGUUCAGAAAAAGAAAAAAAAAAAUAUAUAUAUAUAUACACACACAUUUCUCUCUGUAUCAACUUUCUUAUCUGCCUAUCUAUAUACAAAAUGUCAAUACACAUGUUAAUAAAAGUGCACUCUCUGUCCCUCUGUAUACAUUUAUAUGUACACAUAAGGGAUACACCAGUGUUUAAUGUACGAUUCUUAUAACUUUUCUGAAGUUUUGGUAUUUUUCAAAAUAAACAUUUGUGGGAAUCCCCCUUAACAUAUCUGUUCUUUGACUUCCACCCUUGGCUCGCCAGUACCAGAGAUCUCUCUUGAAUACUCCUCCUCUAAUACUGCUUCCCCUUUGAUGGCUCUGGAGUGUGCCACAAGAUUUCUCUUUCUCUCUCACUUCUAAUAUAUUUCUUCUCUAUUUAUACUAAGCAUUUACCUCUUCUUGGCUUCUACCUUCAAGUUCACAGAUGUAAACCCAUCAAAAUUCUCAGUGAAACUCAGAGGGCUCUAGCUGAUUGCACUUACACUCCCGAGAAGAUAGCCUAGUGACCACGUGCAACCAGCCUGUGUUUUUGAGAUACCGUCCCCACCCCAGGUAGCAUAACAAAAUAUUCCUACCAAACACUACUUCAAACAAAUUCUGGGGAAUAGAAUUUUCAUCUCAUUUCACAACUAAAGGAUUCCAACACUCUACUAAAUCAGAAAGAUUGCUGCUAUUUCAGACUUUUCUGCAUGUCAUCUGAAGCUAGAUUUAAAACCUACUUCCCAACGCCCACCUUUCAAAGGGUAACGACAAAGAUUUUCACAGCGACGUGCAAAACUUCCAGAGAUGUCAAAAAAAAAAA